CUAGACUAGACUUGACUUAUCUGUGUUGCAGACUUUGCCCCAACCAGGGAGGAGGUGAGGGGAGGAAAGUAGCAAGCAGCAGAAGCAGGUGCCCAGAGAUACACCUCAGCUGCCUUGAGGUACAUGCCUCUGUGACCUGCAACUUGCUGAGGCAUCUUGCAUGCAGGAAUCUGUACUUAAUCCUGCCAGGACAUUGCUGCUGGUUUUCCCCACAUUGCAAAGCCACUGCUUGGAAUUGCCUUAACUUUGGAAGCUGUCCUGCUGAUGAAUGUGUGGUUUGUUGACAACUAUGUGAAAUGAUACCUUGAUCAAGAUCUCCAAGCAAGGCACUGCAAUGCAGGCAGGUAAAGCAACGAUGCUGAAAAUGAGCCACUUUGCACCAGAGCAGAUAGGGGGAGAUUGGGUGACUAAUUCUACUUCUGCACAAUAAGCUGCCUUU
rnacentral:lncRNA from 14 species